CAGCAAUAUCCAGCACCAAUUCCUUCCCUCUCACUCCUGGUCUGUUUCCAUACGUGGCAGUCAUGCAAUGUGAUUUCAACACGAACCGGGCUCCUGAUGUGAAAGCGUUCUCAGCUUUCAAGUUUAGGUUUAAAAAAACAACACGGAACGGAUGAAGUGAAAUGUUUCCUUUGGACGGCGCUCUGACAAAGGGGAGGAAACCCCUCACUGUGGGAUGGCAGCCGCGGGUCAGGGGCGGGUAAGCAGCGGUUACCGCCAUCCAGAGGAGAGCAGCCAUCAGCCGUCAGAUUGCAUUUUGUUUUGUGAGUGGAAAGGAGAACCCAACCGGUUGGUCUGGUUCGUGCUGAGGCAUCCCAGAGCAGAAAAACAACUGACAGGUAGACUCAGGCUUAAAGUGAGAGGAUCCCCCACGUCACUGGUUUCAACUAGAGGAUACGUCUGUGCUAUGAGAAUACUCAGUAUGAGAAACGUGCUGCGAAACAGAGGCAGCCAGUUGGAGCAGUGCUUCAGACUAAGCUGAGGUCAGUUUUAGAAUCACAGAAUACUUCAGGCUGGACAGGAACUCUUGAUGUCACCUCAAUCCACGCCCUGCUCAAAGAAGGUCUCACUACGUCAGAUCGCUCAAGGCUGCAGCCAGUCAAGUUGAACCCUCAAAUGGGGAGCCUCUGCUGAAUGCUGGUUACUGCAAGCGGCCUUUUCAAGAGACAAAAGAAAGUUAAAAUUAGAGCCUAAAAACAAUGGAUUUGCAGCAGCCAGGUAAGCACGUGCCUUUUACUUUCUGUAACAUAAGAAUUAAAUACUGCUGAUCGCUGCAAGUAGCAGUGAAAACUCAAAUGCACUGCCUUUGGGCCUGCAAUAACCUGGAGGCUAAUUAACUGCAGAUAGGGCUUUUUAUCUUACACUUUAUAUUAAAUAAAUUCAGCCCAAAUCCAUAGAGACCAAUAAGCAUUUUUAGACUGUGUAGCUAAAUUUCACCCCAAAAUUGAUCAAGCUACAUAAGAGUCUGGCUUAUGAGAUGUCUGAUUAAUGUUUUGUUCUCCAAUAAAGCAGGUACUUAAGAUUAAAAGAGCAAAUGAGAGAGGAAAGUAGAGGAAGUCUUUUCAGUAUAUUUUUCAUCAUUUU
rnacentral:lncRNA from 1 species